UUACGGCCAUAUCGAGUUGAAACACCGGUACCCGUGCGAUCACCGAAGUUAAGCAAUGUCUAGCCUGGUCACUAACUAGAUGGGUGAUCGUUUGGGAAUGCCAGGUGUCGUAAG